GCCAGGCAUGGUGGCGCACGCCUGUAAUCCCAGCUACUUGGGAGGCUGAGGCAGGAGAAUUGCUUGAACCUGGGAGGCAGAGAUUGCAGUGAGCCGAGAUUGCACCACUGCACUCCAGCCUGGGUGACAAAGUGAGAGUCUGUCUCAA
rnacentral:SRP_RNA from 2 species